rnacentral:rRNA from 1 species
UCGCAGAUCAGAAUGCUGCGGUGAAUGCGUUCCCGGGUCUUGUACACACCGCCCGUCACACCACGGGAGUUGGAGACGCCCGAAGCCGAUUAUCUAACCUGUUGGAAGAAGUCGUCGAAGGUGGAAUCAAUAACUGGGGUGAAGUCGUAACAAGGUAGCCGUAUCGGAAGGUGCGGCUGGAUCACCUCCUUUCUAAGGAGA